rnacentral:lncRNA from 1 species
AUGGCUCUGCGCGACCCUGUGGCCGUGGGCCCCAAGGUGACCAAGGACGUGAGCAAGCCCAGGCACAGCUGCCGCCCCGGACGUCUGACCAAACACACCAGGUUUGUGCGGGACAUGAUCCGGGAGGUGUGUAGCUUCGUCUCGUACAAGCGGCUCGCCAUGGAGUUGCUGAAGGUCCCCAAGGACAAACGGUCCCUCAAGUUCAUCAAGAAAAGGAUGGGGACGCACAUCCGCACCAAGAGGAAGCGGAAGGAGCUGAGCAAGGUGCUGGCCACCAUGAGGAAAGCUGCUGCCUAGAAAGACUGA